UUAUUAACUGUUAUCUAAAUAGCUCUCUCUAUAAAUAGCAGUUUUAACAUUCUGCUGAUAUUUCCAUUUCUGUCAUUUUUUGACGUUUUUUUUUCUUGGUAAUUUAAUAUUAGAGCUGGCCUGGAACUUACCCUGGGAGUAACCUGGUUAUUACUCUGAACCAUCAUUUUCAAGAUGCUGAUGAAGUUCCUGAGAGAAUAGAAGGUGUGCAUUUCCCUACCUUGUUCUUUCACCCGUGUCAUGUGAUUAGAACAAACAGGAUAGCAAAGCAGCUUCUACCACCAUGAAGUGACAUGAUAGAGCUGACAGGAGGCAUGGCCACUACAAAGGAAAACAAAUUACUAUCCCAACUAAAGGAUUAUCAGAAAUACUUACAAAGCACUCUGCAGCAUCAUCCAUGAGGCCAAGCUGAAAUCGCUGUUCAUCU